rnacentral:tRNA from 1 species
GCGGAUGUGGUGGAACUGGCAGACACGCUAGACUUAGGAUCUAGUGCCGUAAGGCGUGGAGGUUCGACUCCUCUCAUCCGCACCA